rnacentral:tRNA from 1 species
AGUAGAGUGGCCGACAAAAGGUGCUAAAUUGUAAAUUUAGUCAUGGAGAAUUCCCUUUACUA